AUGCCAUGGUGUGGACAUUUCCUUAACCUUGCUUUCAAUCUUUCCCAAGCUUGAUAAACUGACUCAGUGUCGGUCUGCAAGAAGUUAGAUAUAUCCUGUCUUAACUU
rfam:Nicotiana attenuata strain TT chromosome 2, whole genome shotgun sequence.